CAAUAGCGUAUACUAAAGUUGUUGCGAUUAAAAAGCUCGUAGUUGGAUCUCAGGCAUGGGCGCACGGUCCGCCUCGCGGCGGUCACUGUGUGUUUUGUUUCCCAUCCUACGCUUCCCGGUUAUCAGCCCAUGGUGCUCUUCACUGAGCGUUUUGGGUGGCCGGAACGUUUACUUUGAAGAAAUUAGAGUGUUCAAAGCAGGCACGUCGCCUGAAUAAUGGUGCAUGGAAUAAUGGAAUAGGACCUCGGUUCUAUUUUGCUGGUUUUCGGAACACGAGGUAAUGAUUAAGAGGGACAGACGGGGGCAUCCGUAUUGCGGUGUUGGAGGUGAAAUUCUUGGAUCAUCGCAAGACGAACAACUGCGAAAGCAUUUGCCAAGCAUGUUUUCAUUAG
rnacentral:rRNA from 1 species